UUCUCAAGUUUACCCAAUUCUAUAAAAGUGCAGUUGAAAGAACCUAGUGGGGAAACCCCCACUCAAUUCCCGAUUCGACGUGCACCCAAGAAUCACGAACAGACGG
rnacentral:pre_miRNA from 7 species